rnacentral:rRNA from 1 species
CACGUAGGGUGCGAGCGUUGUCCGGAAUUAUUGGGCGUAAAGAGCUCGUAGGCGGUUUGUUGCGUCGGCUGUGAAAUCCCGAGGCUCAACCUCGGGUCUGCAGUCGAUACGAGCAAACUAGAGUGUUGCAGGGGAGACUGGAAUUCCUGGUGUAGCGGUGAAAUGCGUAGAUAUCAGGAGGAACACCAGUGGCGAAGGCGGCUUCCUGGACGGUAACUGACGCUGAGACGCGAAAGCGUGGGGAGCAAACAGG